rnacentral:pre_miRNA from 1 species
UGGAUAGAUUAUUGUAUUCGACUGUAUUCACGGCGUGAAACAGGGGAUUACAUUGUUUUUAAACGGAAAGUGAAUCAAUUAACAUAAUAGACUCCU